UCGACGUCGUGAGGAAGGGGAACAUGAUGACGAUACAGAUAACGGUGAUAUCGUAAACAUUCUGACCACAAUAACUGUUAAUAACAAUAACAACAGUAGUAAGCAACAACCCCAAUGGAAUGGAAUGAUGCGAUCA
rnacentral:sRNA from 14 species